AUGGACCAAUCCAUCCCUUUUUCCCGUGCAUAUGCAUCGGACUCGGAUGACGAUGGUCCCGAUGAAGAAGUUGAUGAGGAGGGGUUCACGCCGAAGGAGGCCGAAGCAUUCAAGAAGGUAUUCGGGCGGGAUCACAAGACACCAUUGUUCAAGGAUCUUAGUCUCGCGGAUGAAGCCAUUGUGGAUGGUGGCAAAUGCAUAUCUCUUGGAGCUAGGCCAAGUUCUCAC
rnacentral:rRNA from 1 species